UCUAACCGCGCCCCUGGAUGGGGCCGGGACCCUGUGUGGCGGGUAGUUUGACUGGGGCGGUCGCCUCCUAAAGAGUAACGGAGGCGCGCGAUGGUAGGCUCAGACCGGUCGGACAUCGGUCGUUGAGUGCAAUGGCAUAAGCCUGCCUGACUGUGAGAUCGACAGAUCGAACAGAGACGAAAGUCGGUCAUAGUGAUCCGGUGGUCCCGAGUGGAAGGGCCAUCGCUCAACGGAUAAAAGGUACUCCGGGGAUAACAGGCUGAUGAUGCCCAAGAGUCCAUAUCGACGGCAUUGUUUGGCACCUCGAUGUCGGC
rnacentral:rRNA from 1 species